UACGAAGGGGGCUAGCGUUGUUCGGAAUUACUGGGCGUAAAGCGCGUGUAGGCGGGUCUUUAAGUCAGGGGUGAAAUGCCAAGGCUCAACCUUGGAACUGCCUUUGAUACUGGAGACCUUGAGUCCGGGAGAGGUGAGUGGAAUUGCGAGUGUAGAGGUGAAAUUCGUAGAUAUUCGCAAGAACACCAGUGGCGAAGGCGGCUCACUGGCCCGGAACUGGACGCUGAGACGCGAAAAGCGUGGGGAGCAAACAGGG
rnacentral:rRNA from 1 species